rnacentral:tRNA from 1 species
UCUCAGCUUUAGCGAGGUCUUCUCGCGACGCGUCUCCGUAGCGCUUCAGGAGCCGUCGCGCCGCCCGCGCGCGCGGCGCGCGCAGCUGUCGA